rnacentral:rRNA from 1 species
AUGUCUCACUUCCUUCGGGGGUUAGAUUUCCCGAUGGAUCCCUUCAUGAGGGGGCUGCUGUUUUAUUACGGGCUGGAAUUUCAUGACUUAGCUCCAGAGUCCAUCCUCCACAUUUCCUCAUUCAUCGUUGUGUGUGAAGCGUUCCUCUGUGUUACUCCUCACUUCGGAUUAUGGCUCAAGACUUUUGGAGUGGAGCCGAAGAUAAUCGAGGGACGGCACGCAGAGUGCGGAGGCGCUGUCAUAAGUAAGAAUGCUGAUGCUCCAUGGCCCGAGGGCUCCUUUAAAGAGGAGCUCGGCUUGUGGCAACGAGAAUGGUUCUAUAUCACCGCUCCCAGGAGCGCCAAGUGGGCG